UUAAGGAUGGCGACACCUCUAACGGACCAGGAGAAGCGCAAGCAGAUCAGCAUCAGGGGGUCGUCGGUGUGGAGAAUGUAGCAGAGCUAAAGAAGCACUUCACGCUCGUGAAUGACAAGAACGUCUCCAUGCCUCACAAUUAUUAUUUUGCGCACGCGCACACGGUGCAUGAUCACCUGGUGGGCUAUCCAGCAGUUCUACUAUGAGACCGACCCGAAGUGUGUAUUACCUGUUCUACAUGGGUAGAGCUCUCCAGAACACCAUGUUUAACCUGGGCCUGCAGAAUGCCUGCGAUGAGGCUGUCUACCAGAUGAGAGUCCGUCCGUCCAUCCGUCCAUCCAUCUGUCCAUCUAUCCAUCCAUCCAUCCAUCCAUCUGCCUGUAUGUUAGAUAAAUCUCUUUCUCCCUCUUUGUAAUUGGGGCUGGAUAUGGAGGAUCUGGAAGAAAAUGCCAGAUUGGGCAACGGAGGCAUGGGAAGAUUAGCAGGUCUCUGUCUCAUUCGUGUGCUGCUCUACCAAUGACUGCUCUGUGCCUGUACAGUAUGCAGUUUAGAAAUCUCCUUUGUGUGUGCUACAGAGUUUUGCAAAAGAAAAGAACCAGACAAUUAAUACAGACAGAGCAGGAUUUUAACAUAUGACAUAUUGUAAGUUAGUGGUAUUUACUGUAUGUACAUUUGUGUUCGCAAUUCACACCUUGUUUUCUGGACUCUGUGGGGACUCUUGGUCUGGCUGCUUAUGAAUAUGGGAUCUGUUAUGAGUAUGGAUUCUUCAACCAGAAAUUCAAAGAUGGCUGGCAGACGAUCUGGAUCGAAUCCGCAGGAUGUCUCUGAUUGAGGAGAGAGGAGGAAAGAGAGUAAACAUAAACAUGGCUCAUCUUCGCAUUGUGGGAUCACACAAAGUUAAUGGAGUCGCACAGAUUCACUCUGACAUCAUUAAAACAGACAUAUUCCGAGACUUCAGUGAGUUGGAUCCAGAGAAGUUUCUGAAUAAAACAAACGGCAUCACACCGCAACGCUGGCUGCUGCUUUGCAACCCUGGACUUGCUGAUCUGAUUGCAGAGGUCAAACACACUGUGUCUGUUUUUUAUGACCAUUUAAGGUGUCAGUUGAGAUUUCAUCUGUGUGUUUUUGUGUGAUUUGUGUUGGUAUGUGUUCAUAGGCCAUCGGUGAAGAUUACAUGAAAGAUCUGACUCAGCUACAGAAGUAGAAUGAUCUGGUUGACGAUGAUGCUUUCAUCAGAGAUGUAACCAA